UUCCCAUACGUGGGCCGAUCCCGAAGAUAGUGCAAUGCCGGGCCGACCCGCGGCGGAGGUGCAGCAGUCGUUAAGCACUCAAUCCCCAUACGUGGGCCGAUCCCCAAGAUAGUGCAAUGCCGGGCAGACCCGCGGCGGAGGUGGAGCAGUCGUUAAGCACUCGAUCCCCAUACGUGGGCCGAUCCCGAAGAUAGUGCAAUGCCGGGCCGACCCGCGGCGGAGGUGCAGCAGUCGUUAAGCACUCAAUCCCCAUACGUGGGCCGAUCCCCAAGAUAGUGCAAUGCCGGGCAGACCCGCGGCGGAGGUGGAGCAGUCGUUAAGCACUCGAUCCCCAUACGUGGGCCGAUCCCCAAGAUAGUGCAAUGCCGGGCAGACCCGCGGCGGAGGUGGAGCAGUCGUUAAGCACUCGAUCCCCAUACGUGGGCCGAUCCCGAAGAUAGUGCAAUGCCGGGCCGACCCGCGGCGGAGGUGCAGCAGUCGUUAA
rnacentral:lncRNA from 1 species